AAGUAAAGUCGUAACAAGGUUUCCGUAGGUGAACCUGCGGAAGAUCAUUAAAAAUUCUGCCAUUGUUUGGUGGAAACAAUAAUCAUCCUACCUUUGUGAAUUUGUUGUUUGUAAUAAUUUUUUAAAAGAAAAUUAUUACUGUCUAUCCUGGAUAGUAAAGUUGGAAGAGUAAUCUAGAAACUUUGCUUUCAGGAAUAGUAUGUAAUAAAUUUUCAUUUAAAGACCUUUUUUUUUAAUUAAACUUUUGUAUUCAUUGUCUAAAUUAUUUUAAAUAUUUAAAACAACUUUGACAAUGAUCUCUUGUUCUCGCACGAUGAAGAACGCAGCAAAUGCGAUAAGUAGUGUGAAUUGCAGAAUACGUGAAUCAUCAAUCUUCGAACGCAUAUUGCACUUUUUAGUUUACUAAAAAGUAUGUCUGUUUGAGUAUCAGUAAAUAUCUCAAUAACUUUUUGUUUAUUGUUAUGAGUGUUUUACAACGAUACAAGUUGUUUCACUUAAAUUGACUUUAUAUAACUAUCCAUUUAGGUCAUUUUUAAAAUUGGAUAAAUUUCUGUAAAAAGGAUAACUUGACAGUUUUAGAGAAAGAUCUAAAAGUUUUCUUAAAGGAAUUAUAAUAAACUAACUUGAUCUCAAUCAGAUAAGAGUACCGCUGAACUUAAGCAUAUCAUAAGCGGAGGAAAGAAACUAACAAGGAUUCCCUAUAACGGCGAGUGAAGCGGGAAGAGCUCAAAUUUGAAAUCUUCAAGGUUUCCUUGACGAAUUGUAGUUUAUAGAAGUGUUUCUGUUAGAGAGGUGGUAAAGUUCUUUGGAAUAGGACAUCAUAGAGGUGAGAAUCCCGUAUUUGAUCACUUUCUACUAACGUUGUAUACACUUUCAACGAGUCGGAUUGUUUGGAAUGCAGUCCAAAUGGUGGUAAUUUCAUCUAAAGCUAAUAUGGCGAGAGACCGAUAGCGAACAAGUACGUGAGGGAAAGAUGAAAGAACUUUGAAAGAGAGUUAAACAGUACGUGAAAUUGUCAAAGGGAAGCGUUUGACACCAGUGUUGCUUUCCGAAAUCAAUUACGAAUGGCGGAUUCUAAGUUUCAUGACCUUAAAGCUUGUUCUUUCUUUUCCGUCUUCUUAAUGCACUUUCGGUUACAAGUCAACAUCAAUUCUUUGUUGUAAAAGUUAGAGGAAGGUGCUUUACUUUCGGGUAAAGUGUUAUAGCCUUUAACUCUGCAAUCGGAGAGAUUGAGGUCUGCAGCGUAGAUCCUUCGGGCUAGAUACGUUUGUGCUAAGUUAUAGCUUUCAUAGACAACUGUGACUAUGUUUAGUCUUGUAGCUUACUCGCUGAUGCUAUUUACCUACGCUUAGGAUGUG
rnacentral:misc_RNA from 1 species